AGAGUUUGAUCCUGGCUCAGGAUGAACGCUAGCGGCAGGCCUAAUACAUGCAAGUCGAACGGUAAAUAUUCAGCAAUGGAUAUGAGAGUGACGUACGGGUGCGUAACACGUAUGCAACCUACCCUUUACAGGAGGAUAGCUCGGGGAAACUCGGAUUAACCCUUCAUAAUAUAAUUGGAUGGCAUCAUUUGAUUAUUAAAUCUACGGAGGUAAAGGAUGGGCAUGCGUCUGAUUAGUUAGUUGGCGGUGUAACGGACCACCAAGACGAUGAUCAGUAGGGGAACUGAGAGGUUGAUCCCCCACACUGGCACUGAGAUACGGGCCAGACUCCUACGGGAGGCAGCAGUAGGGAAUAUUGGUCAAUGGAUGGAAGUCUGAACCAGCCAUGCCGCGUGCAGGAAGAAGGCCUUCUGGGUUGUAAACUGCUUUUGCCAGGGGCUAAAACGCCCAUGCGUGGGAAAUUGAAAGUACCUGGUGAAUAAGCCACGGCUAACUACGUGCCAGCAGCCGCGGUAAUACGUAGGUGGCAAGCGUUGUCCGGAUUUAUUGGGUUUAAAGGGUGCGUAGGCGGCUUUGUAAGUCAGUGGUGAAAUAUGGCAGCUCAACUGUCAAGGUGCCAUUGAUACUGCAGAGCUUGAGUACAGAUGAGGUAGGCGGAAUUGACGGUGUAGCGGUGAAAUGCUUAGAUAUCGUCAAGAACACCUAUAGCGAAGGCAGCUUACUAGGCUGUAACUGACGCUGAGGCACGAAAGUGUGGGGAUCAAACAGGAUUAGAUACCCUGGUAGUCCACACUGUAAACGUUGAUUACUCGCUGUGUGCGAUAUACAGUACGCGGCCAAGCGAAAGCGCUAAGUAAUCCACCUGGGGAGUACGCCGGCAACGGUGAAACUUAAAGGAAUUGACGG
rnacentral:rRNA from 1 species